ACAAAGUACCUACUAAGCCGGGAGCCGCAUCGUUGAACUCGUUAACGUUGGCGACCUAAGUGCGCAUAAAUUCAACAAAAAAAUCUUAAUAAAUCUGCAUUUAAUUCCUUUUGAAGGUAACAAAACAUUGGGGACAUUCGACAUAGGUCCUCUGUCCAAUACUUUCCGCUUCAUAACUACUUAUUGAAACACUGAAGCUAAAUUAGGAUAUUAUUAAUAUUAAUCUAUUUCUAUAAUGGUGCCAUUAUAAGUGCCAUAAAGUUACUUUUCUGGUCAAGUUACGCCAAACGCAAAAAAUAUGAUAUUAUGAACACUAUUACUCAUCAAAUUAAAUUAGUAUUGGUACGUAAUGUCAAACAGGUACAAUCACUAUACUCUACCUCUUAUGUUGUUAUCAGUGUUGUCACUGUCCGAAUUUUAUUUUGUAGGUUAUAAUUGCAUUUAUUAGAGUUAUUAUAUUUAAGUUUAUUGUCAAUUAGGAAAUAAUUUCAACAUAAUAUUAUAUUAUAUUUUAAAAUGUAUCCUCAAUUAUAUUAUAUAUAUUUUUUAUGUGCCAUAUUAAAUUAGGUAAGCAAAAGUUCCUAGAAUUUACUAAUUUUUAAGUAAUAAACGUAUCAAAUACUAGGUACUUGUGUUUUAAUCAGAACCAUACCGAUUAUCUGUCAUUUGCGACGUUUAUUUUAAUUUAGUAUUUUUUUAGUUUUACAAAUUUUCAGUGGUAUGUGCUGUUGCGAUCAAAAUGGGAAAAACAAUUAUGUCCCCAAAAAAAUACUUCAGAAGGCGAAUCACAAAGAUACUGGUGAUGUUAUGGUCGACAAGAUUAGUUUAGAUAUCAAGGAACACUACCGUGAGCUGACACGCUGUGUAACCGCGGUAAACAAGAUGGUGGACACGCUGUCCAAUCAGAUGUCCUGGCCGCCCGUCCGCUGUGAACACGAGAGGUGCGAAUUGGAAUGCUGCUACGAAACCCAGGAACGUUCAGGCAACUGCUCUAACGUCGUCAAGAAAUACGUGGAUUGUGUGCGCAAUGUACUCUUCUUGAGAAUUAGAUGCAAUUGAUACUUGUAGUACCGUUUUUUUUUUAAUUUAUGUGAAAUAUAUUUUUUGCCCACGU